CGGGGGGCGGGGUGUCUGCCGUGCAGGACGUCCCGGGGGACGCCCGAUCCCUCUGCCCAGGUUGCCUGAGAAGUAAGCUGCUCGCUUGCACGCCUAAGGGCAACCAACGACUGCCUUGCAUUAGAUUUCGGUGUAGUGCCUCGCAGAUUUUAGGCGCCUUCCUUCUCAAGCGCCUCAAACCUGCCAGAAGCCAAAAAAAAAAAAGUAGCUUCCUCACUGUGAUGAAUAUUGUGGACUAAACAGGAUGUCCAGAAAGGAUCUCUGUUCCAUCAACUCUUGAUUCAGCCAAACUGCACAUACUUAACUAAGAAGUAAUGGAUCUGGCUUGGCAGCUCUUCUGGAAAACAGCACUCCUCUAAAGACGGCCUCCCAGCUGCAAGAGGAGACCUGACCUGGUCAUCUUGACCCAAGACAAGUGAAGUAAUGCAAGAAUACCCUUAUUUUAAAACAACUAUCAUACCAUUAAAUGGCAUUACACUCCACUGCACUGCUUAUUAUAGGAUCCCCUCCCUCCUUUAAUUCCUUGGGGUGCUAUAAAAUAAAAGCGAUGACAUGUC